rnacentral:rRNA from 1 species
CGCGGCCUAUCAGCUUGUUGGUGGGGUAAUGGCCUACCAAGGCGACGAUGGGUAGCCGGCCUGAGAGGGUGUCCGGCCACACUGGGACUGAGAUACGGCCCAGACUCCUACGGGAGGCAGCAGUGAGGAAUAUUGCGCAAUGGGCGAAAGCCUGACGCAGCGACGCCGCGUGGACGAUGAAGGCCUUCGGGUUGUAAAGUCCUGUCAGGAGGGACGAAGCGGCCUCGUGCCGUGACGGUACCUCGGUAGGAAGCCCCGGCUAACUACGUGCCAGCAGCCGCGGUAAGACGUAGGGGGCUAGCGUUGUCCGGAAUUACUGGGCGUAAAGAGCUCGUAGGCGGCCUGUUAAGUCGGGUGUGAAAGCCCUCGGCUCAACCGAGGAAUUGCACUCGAUACUGGCGGGCUAGAGUCUGGUAGAGGGAGGUGGAAUUCCCGGUGUAGCGGUGAAAUGCGCAGAUAUCGGGAGGAACACCGGUGGCGAAGGCGGCCUCCUGGGCCACGACUGACGCUGAGGAGCGAAAGCUAGGGGAGCGAACAGGAUUAGAUACCCUGGUAGUCCUAGCCGUAAACGAUGGGCACUAGGUGUGGGGGGUUACCAACUCCCUCCGUGCCGAAGCUAACGCAUUAAGUGCCCCGCCUGGGGAGUACGG